rnacentral:rRNA from 1 species
UAAAGUAGUAAUAGUUAAGAUCUUGAAACUUAAAAAAUUUGGCGGUAUUUUAGUCUAUUCAGAGGAACUUGUUUUAUAAUCGAUAAUCCACGAUGGACCUUACUUAAUUUUGUUAACAGUUUAUAUACCGUCGUUAUUAGAAUAUUUUAUAAGAAAUUUUAAUUUUCUAAAUUUUUAAAAAUAAAAAUAUAUCAGAUCAAGGUUUAGCUUAUGUUUAAGUAAAAAUGAGUUACAAUAAAAUUAUUUAAAUGAAUAUAAAUUUGAAAUGUUUGUUGAAGGUGGAUUUGAUAGUAAAUUUAUAUAGAUAAAUAAU